UACAGGUGCACGCCACCAGGCCCGGCUAAUUUUUUAUAUUUUUGGUAGAGACAGGAUUUCGCCAUGUUGCUCAGACACUGGUCUCGAACUCCAGGACUCAAACUGGAACUGGGCUUAAACUCCUGGACUCCCGCCUCAGCCUCCCAAAGUGCUGGGAUUACAGGCGCCCGGCCUCAGGGCCCUUUUCUUAGAGGGAGUGGAGAACUGGCCCAGGUGGGGGAGUAAGACAAGCUGCCACCUAGCCGGGCUGUGCCUGGCUGCCGUGCCUGAAGAGCCCACCGUGGAUUCUCUCCAUGCUGGUCGGGCAGCAGCCGAGGGACUGACCAGAGAGGAAGAGCAGGAUCCCAGAGGAAGGGGAAUGAACUCCAUUGCCUUUGUGUGCACGAAGCCGGAAGCACGACCACUCUUCACCCUCGGCCUCAUUACAACACCAAGACCUCUGCCUCGGCGCGGGAGCUCUCACCUGGAAUCCCAGCACCUUGGGAGGCCGAAGCGGACGGAUCACCUGAGGUGUCAGGAGUUUGAGACCAGCCUGGCCAACAAGGGACGCUCACCUACCUCAUGAAUUACGCGUGUCGCCCUCCUCAAGACGCCACAACGCACUCCCCUGGGGAGCCAGCUGGAGACCUCUCCCUGCGGUGCUGUCUCCUCCGUGGUGGAACGGAAGCCCCUAAUAAAGCCUUGUCUGGGA
rnacentral:lncRNA from 1 species